rnacentral:rRNA from 1 species
GUCCACGGCCAUACCUAGGCGAAAACACCAGUUCCCGUCCGAUCACUGCAGUUAAGCGUCUGAGGGCCUCGUUAGUACUAUGGUUGGAGACAACAUGGGAAUCCGGGGUGCUGUAGGCU